CUACUUGGGACGCUGAGGUUGGAGAAUCACUUGAGCCCAGGAGGUAGAGGCUGCAGUGAGCUGUGAUUGUACCACUGUAUUCCAGCCUGGGUGACAGAGUGAGACCCUGUGUCUAUUUAAAAAAAAAGGAAACAUGGUUUUUUCUUUUUGAGACAGAGUCUCACUGGCCCAGGCUGGAGUGCGGUGGCACGAUCUUGGCUCACUGCAACCUCUGCGUCUCCUGGAUUCAAGCAAUUCUCCUGUCUCAGCCUCCCGAGUAGUUGGGAUUACAGGUGUGAGCCACCACACCGGGCUAAUUUUUAUAUUUUUAGUAGAGAUGGGGUUUCACCAUGUUGGCCAGGCUGGUGUUGAACGCCUGACUCAAGUGAUUUGCCUGCCUCCUUCUCCCAAAAUGCUGGGAUUACUGGCAUGAGCCACCAUGCCCCGCCCUGGAAACAUGUUUAAAAAGGCAAGGAAUGUUACUGUAUCAGUUAAUAUUACGUUUAACUGUAUGCAAUUAUUUAAAGCCCAGAUAAAUAACAGUGGCUUUAAAAAGAUUGCAGUUUAUUUCUCUGUCUCCUGAAAAGUCCUGAAUUGGGUGGUCUGCAGCUGAUCGAGGCUCUACGGGACCCAGGGCUCCUGUGGUCCUGCGGCUCCGCUUCAGGUGUUGCCUCCUGGUCCUAAAUGGUUGCUUAAGCUCCAGCUGUCAUUUCUCCAUUCCAGUCAGCAGGCAGAAAGUGGGGAAAGAUGGGCUCCAUGCUUCCUCAUGAGUAAACUUUGAGUGCUUGUCAGUAUCUUGCAUUAUAUCUCAUGGCCUAGUCCUUGGUCACUUGGCCACAGCUAGCUGCAGGGUGGGCGAGGCACACGGAAUGUGUGGGGCUCCCUGGAAUGUGUGUUCCACAGAAAUGCAGGGCUCGUUCCUAAGGAGGAAGGGGAGGAAGUGAAUGUUGGUGUAGGUUAUCAGCCUUUGCCUUGGUAACUCUUAAAACUAAACCCCCAAGGUUCUGGGUUGCACAGACCUAUCCUUAUGUGGGCCGUUUCCACUGAACUUUCUUGCGGGACAGUCCUAGAUGAUCAGAAUCCUCACACCCCCACCUUCACCCUGCCCUGCCAGACCUCGCAGGCUUAGCAUGGCCUUGCAGUAUUGUAUUGUUGGGCCUCACGUACGGGUGUAGCUACAAAUUGGUGGCAGGCCAGGGCUCUGUCUCAGGACCUUGGACACCAGUGGUCCCUGAGGUGGCCUGGGGAGGUGUGGUCCAGAGGGUUCCCAGCAGAGAACCUCAGCAGUGCUGGCCGGCUUCAUGGCAGGGCUUGUGGGAGUCACGGAGAUGGCAGUGGCCCUUCUCAGACUCGGGGUCCAGGAGCCCUGUGCCCCCUAGAUGAGGUGGGCGUCCACCAGUAUAGGGCAGAGACCAGUGUGCAGGGACCCUGCAGGGAGCCGUCAGCUGUGACCAGCCGGGUGGAGAGCUGUCCCAGCCUGUGCAAGACACGUCUAAGUUGGCAGAAGACUGACCUGGAGUGCAGGGCCAGAGACGCCUGAAAAGGCUGAAAUCAUAGGUGGCUUCUGAGAUUGACCCACAUUUCUGCAGAUGACUGUAGGGGAAAGGGAUCCCACUCGAACCAGGCUUUUUUUUUUUUUUUUUUUUUUUUAAAUGUGGCACGUUGGUGCAUUUUGGGAUGAAUUCUUUUUGUUUUCAAAGGGCCGCUCAGUUUUUACGUAAAAUGGCAGAUCCACAGUCCAUCCAGGAAUCGCAGAAUCUGUCCAUGUUCCUGGCCAAUCAUAACAAGAUCACACAGGUAAGGCUGGUGUUUGCACACUCAGGUUGAUGGGCCAAGCAGCCGGCCGGGCGCCGGGCCCAUGCAUGAGUCUCUUGCUCUGUGUUUCAGUCUCUGCAGCAGCAGCUCGAAGUGAUUUCUGGCUACGAAGAGCUCCUGGCAGAUAUUGUGAAUCUGUGUGUGGAUUACUACGAGAACAGGAUGUAUUUGACGCCCAGUGAGAAACACAUGCUUCUCAAAGUACGUGUGUGGGGACGCUAGCCCGUGGCACUGCCGAGGGACAGCCUUACUCUUGUCAAUAGGCUGUGCUUUAUCUAGAAUCCUUUUGACAGCUGUGUCUUAUUUGCAUGCUGUCAUGUGUGAACAGCGUCCUGCCCUUGCACACAGCCUGCACAACAGGCUCUCAACACACCCCAUGAGUGUGUCACACACUGACCCUGGGAGAAGGUGCUGGCCAGGAGGUCCGGGUCAAGGAUUCUCAGCUUUUUUUUUUUUUUUUUUUUUUUUUAAGCUGCUUUUCGUUUUAUUCUCAAGGCAGGGUGUUGCUCUUGCCCAGGCUGGAGUGCAGUGGCACAAUCACAGCCCAAUAUAGCCUCAACCUCCUGGGCUCAAGUGAUCCUCCCACCUCAGCCUCCUAAGUAGCUGGGACUACAGGUG
rnacentral:lncRNA from 10 species